rnacentral:lncRNA from 1 species
ACAGAAACGCCGCUUGGCCUUUGGACUACACCAUCUGUCGCUCGCUCUAACGAGCCGGCGUUGCCGCCAGGGGACGCUCGGGCCGCAGGAGGUCGCUGGGUCGUGAGCUGGCGCCGGGGACGCCGAGCGACUGCGGGGUUUCCCUCAGCGUCCUGCUAUCCGGCUGCCCGCCGCGCUCCUUGGUAGUGUCCGUGGGCGCGCAGGCCUUGAAGAACCUCCUCGUGGCGGGACCCCGAGGUAACUGCUGAGGCAGAUAAUGGCGCCUGGGCUGCGGUGGGGCUUGUCCUGCCGCCUGGCGGCUUUCUGCAGGGCCAGGAUAUACUUACUUUUCUGUAAACCAACUCUUCCUUAGCGCAGGAGAGGUGUCAAAGAGCUGGCGCGUCUCCAGAGCCCCGGGAGGAAGGCUGUAACGGCAGCCCCAUCGUAGACAGGGACAUUCGCAUCCCGAGCCCUGGAUCUCUGAAAACCAGCCCAGAAUUUGGAAGCUGGAAGGAACUUUAGAUCGUCCAUUCUGAGUGUCUCUCUUCGCUGGCGUUUUCCCACUGAGGUUAUGUAAACAUGAAGAGGAGCCUACAAGUGUCAAGGAAAAAACGACAGCUAACCACAGGGCAGGCCAUGGGCAAGAUAUCUCAGUGUUCUCCGCUCUCAUAGGUCAGAGUGAGACUCACCUAGGCUGGACUGCAAUGGUGCAAUCUCGGCUCACUGCAACCUCCGCCUCUCAUGUUCAAGCCAUUCUCCUGCCUCAGCUUUCCGAAUCGCUGGGAUUACAGGUCACGACCCCCAGGAGACCUGGAGGACUGAAUGCUGCUGCCCCCAAGGAGGAGGCUGCCGUCUUAUCCCAGGAGGGAGAGCAGGAAAAUAAAAAGGUUCAAAAGGAAGUUGCUGCGUAUCCAUCUGAGGCCUCUGAGGACAGCAAAGAGCAAAGGCCCUGGGACCGGGUCUACGUGCCCAUGACAGAGCUCUGGCUGGACUGGUUCUGAGCCUCUAACACCCCCAAGACUCAGAACCGUGAAGAAAAUCUUUCC